rnacentral:rRNA from 1 species
GCAUGCCUGUUCGAGCGUCAUUUCAACCCUCAAGCUCUGCUUGGUGUUGGGGCUCUACGGUUGACGUAGGCCCUUAAAGGUAGUGGCGGACCCUCUCGGAGCCUCCUUUGCGUAGUAACAUUUCGUCUCGCAUUGGGAUUCGGAGGGACUCUAGCCGUAAAACCCCCAAUUUUACUAAGGUUGACCUCGGAUCAGGUAGGAAUACCCGCUGAACUUAAGCAUAUCAAUAAGCGGAGGAAAAGAAACCAACAGGGAUUGCCCCAGUAACGGCGAGUGAAGCGGCAACAGCUCAAAUUUGAAAUCUGGNCCCUAGGCCCGAGUUGUAAUUUGCAGAGGAUGCUUUUGGCGCGGUGCCUUCCGAGUUCCCUGGAACGGGACGCCAUAGAGGGUGAGAGCCCCGUACGGUUGGACACCAAGUCUUUGUAAAGCUCCUUCGACGAGUCGAGUAGUUUGGGAAUGCUGCUCAAAAUGGGAGGUAUAUUUCUUCUAAAGCUAAAUAUUGGCCAGAGACCGAUAGCGCACAAGUAGAGUGAUCGAAAGAUGAAAAGCACUUUGAAAAGAGGGUUAAACAGCACGUGAAAUUGUUAAAAGGGAAGCGCUUGUGACCAGACUUGCGUCCGGUGAAUCACCCAGCUCUCGCGGCUGGGGCAUUUUGCCGGCUCAGGCCAGCAUCAGCUUGCCGUCGGGGACAAAAGCUUCGGGAACGUAGCUCUCUUCGGGGAGUGUUAUAGCCCGUUGCAUAAUACCUUCGGUGGGCUGAGGUACGCCGUCCGCAAGGAUGCUGGCGUAAUGGUCAUCAGCGACCCGUCUUGAAACACGGACCAAGGAGUCAACCUUAUGUGCGAGUGUUUGGGUGUUAAACCCCUACGCGUAAUGAAAGU